rnacentral:rRNA from 1 species
UACAGAGGGUGCAAGCGUUAAUCGGAUUUACUGGGCGUAAAGGGCGCGUAGGUGGUUGUUUAAGUGAGAUGUGAAAGCCCCGGGCUCAACCUGGGAACUGCAUCUUAUACUGGGCAACUGGAGUACAUGAGAGGGUAGUGGAAUUUCCGGUGUAGCGGUGAAAUGCGUAGAUAUCGGAAGGAACACCAGUGGCGAAGGCGGCUACCUGGCAUGAUACUGACACUGAGGCGCGAGAGCGUGGGGAGCAAACAGGG